AACGCACCUUGCGCUCCUUGGUAUUCCGAGGAGCAUGCCUGUUUGAGUGUCAUUAAAUUCUCAACUCCCUUUGAUUUCUUCAAAGGUGAGCUUGGAUGUGGAGGCCUGCCGGCUGCAAAGUCGGCUCCUCUGAAAUGCAUUGGCAAAUGGAUGUGUGCAUUUAAUCGGCCUUCGGUGUGAUAAUGAUCACCGUGGCUGGCUUGCUAUAACGCCUUUGCCCAACACCUCUCUUUUCCAUUGACUUGGAAAAGAGAAAACCCACUUGACCAUUUGACCUCAAAUCAGGUAGGACUACCCGCUGAACUUAA
rnacentral:misc_RNA from 1 species